GGGGCACCACCAGGAGUGGAGCCUGCGGUUUAAUUUGACUCAUCACGGGAAAACUCACCCGGUCUGGACACUGCAAGGAUUGACAGAUUGAAAGCUCUUUCUUGUUUCUUUGGGUGGUGGUGCAUGGUCGUUCUUAGGUGGUGGAGCGAUUUGACUGGUUAAUUCCCAUAACUAACGACACUGUACCCUACUAAAUACAUCGAAGGCUUACAAAAGCCCAUGAGACUUCCUACAGGGACAGGCGGCGAUUCAGCCCUGCGAAACAUAUUAAUAAGAAGGGUGUGAUGCCCUUAGAUGUCCGGGGCCGCACGCCCGCUACACUGAAGUGAUCAACGUGCAUUCUCAAACGACUCUGCCCCGAUUGGGAAACCCAAUGAACCUUCUUCUUGGUUGGGAUAGGAGAUUGUAAUUAUUCUCCUUGAACUGGGAAAUCCCACGCAGCGCGAGUCAUAAGCUCGCGUUGAUUACAUCCCUGCCCUUUGUACACGCCGCCCGUCGCUACUACCGAUAGAAUGUUGU
rnacentral:rRNA from 1 species